AGUGAACGCUGGCGGUAGGCCUAACACAUGCAAGUCGAACGACAGCACGAUAAGAUUUUGCCCUUAAGGGUGGCGGCGGGCGGACGGGUGAGGCAUACAUAGCCUUCUAAUUUUUCGUGGGGGACAACGUAGGACAACUUACGAUACUACAGCAUACGACCUACGGGUUAGUUCAGGAGAUCAUCGCAGCUUUGGCGAUUGUAUGAGCCGGUGUCGGAUUAGCUAGUUGGCGAGGUAAAGGCACACCAAGGCAACGAUGCGUAGCUGGUCUGAGAGGAUGAUCAGCCACACUGGAACUGAGACACGGUCCAGACUCCUACGGGAGGCAGCAGUGGGGAAUAUUGGACAAUGGGCGCAAGCCUGAUCGAGCCAUGCCGCGUGAGUGAAGAAGGCCUUCGGAUUGUAAAGCUCUGUUAUUAGGAAAGAAAAGCAGCAGGCUAAUACCCCGCUGUUCUGACGGUACCCAAAGAAUAAGCACCGGCUAACUUCGUG
rnacentral:rRNA from 1 species